rnacentral:rRNA from 1 species
AUUGAACGCUGGCGGCAGGCCUAACACAUGCAAGUCGAGCGAGCGGCGGAUGGGUGAGUAAUGCCUGGGAAUUGCCCAGUCGUGGGGGCUAAUAGUAGGGAACGAUUGCUCAUACCGCACACGAUUGGAUCGUACAGGUGGGAUUAGCUAGUUGGUGAGGUAAUGGAUUACCAAGGCGACGAUCCCUAGCCGGUCUGAGAGGGUGAUCAGCCACACUGGGACUGAGACACGGUCCAGACUCCUACGGGAGGCAGCGGUGGGGAAUAUUGCACAAUGGGGGAAACCCUGAUGCAGCCAUGCCGCGUGUAUGAAGAAGGCCUUCGGGUUGUAAAGAACUUUCAGCCAGGAGGCGUUACUCGCAGAAGAAGCACCGGCUAACUCCGUGCCAGCCGCCGCGGUAAUUC